rnacentral:sRNA from 1 species
UGAAAGCCCCGGAUGGCGGCGAUAUAGAUGGGCGUGCUCGCACGCACAGAUGUAUCGGCAUCAGACGGGCAGGGCCGUAUGAGAAAGUAGGGCGGCAGCCCGGAUUUCGAAUACUUCCGCUUUUUCCGUUCAGCAGGCGCUUUCU